CUGAUACAGCAAAUGAAAGCUUCAACAAACUGAAGGAAAUGCUACUAAAAAGCCCAGCACUGGCAAUCUUCAACCCAAAUCUCCCAACGUUCAUCACCACUGAUGCGUCAGAUUAUGGUCUUGGAGCUGUUCUGACCCAGAUCAACUCAAACAAUGAGGAACGUGCUGUUGCUUUUGGCUCCCGCACCCUGUCCCCAGCCGAGAGGAAAUAUUCAACAAUUGAAAAAGAAGCCCUCGCCUGCGUAUGGGCCGUUGAAAGAUGUAGGACGUACAUAUGGGGACGGAGAUUUACUCUGAGAACUGAUCACCAGGCCCUCACCACCCUGUUAAGUACUAAGGGGAUGAACAGAGCUGGCAUGAGGAUAGCACGUUGGUCAGCCAGACUGAUGUGUUUCCAGUAUGACUUAGAGUACCGUCCAGGAAGCCAAAAUGUUAUAGCUGACUGUAUGUCCCGUGUUCCCCUGCAUACCACAAACACAAGUGAAGACUCUGAACAGGACUUAAUCACAGAGAUUGCUGAAAUUUGAAAUUCAAAUUCAAAUUCAAAUUUUAUUUGUCACGUACACAGUCAUACACAGUACGAUAUGUAGUGAAAUGCUUGGACAACUGCUCGUGACCUAAAGAAAACAAAAAAGGAAAAGGCUAUGAAUAAGAUAGGAAAUAAAUAUGAAAAAUUAAAAAGGGGUAAAUUUAACUGGGAAGAAUAAGAUAAAAUAUAUAAAUUAAAGUUGAAAAUAAAAUAACUGUACAACAAAAUACACAAUACACAAUAUAGAACUAUAUAAGAAUGUAUGAAGAAAUCUAAAUAUAAAUAAAUAUAUACACAAUAACAGCAGCUGUACAAGUAUUAACCGGAAAUGAAGAAUAUAGUGACCAGUGUUGUGCAAAAACAAAGUCCAGAAAGUCCAGUGUGUGUGUAAGAACCAUAUGUGUGGGUCAGUACUGUGAGGUGGUGUGAUUGAGAGACCGUAUCGCCUGCGGGAAGAAGCUCCUCCUCAGUCUCUCUGUGUUGGUCUUCAGGGAGCGGAAUCGCUUUCCUGACCUCAACAGAGAGAACAGUCUGUUGUUGGGAUGGCUGAGGUCCUUCACGAUCUUCCUGGCCUUGGUCCAGCACCGCCUGCUGUAGAUUGAGUG
ensembl:lncRNA